rnacentral:lncRNA from 1 species
CAAGGAUGGUUCGUUGCUGAAAAUGAAAAUAACUUAUUAAUCAGUUUUGUUUUUAAUUAAGUUUAAACACUCACAUUAUUUUUUUACUUUCGUCAUGAGCUGUGUUCCUGAUGAUUGUUAAUCAAGAAAUACGCGUCACACAGACAUUUUAUUAUUUGUUUUUCCUGUAUAUAAGCAAUAUUUUUUUUAAUGGUACAACAAUUAUCAUAAUCAGACCAGCAAUGACCUCGCAAUAUUUUUGAAUGAAAAUGUAGUUUUGUAUAGAAUAUAUGUCCCUAUAGUAACGAAACAUUUUGGGUAAUGAAUGACAUGAUAAUGAUGACGAAAUGCAUGAUAAUAUGCAAAUGUGUGUGUUGAUCUUGUAGGACGUUUGUAUGCUCGUUUUUAUAUCGACAAAAAACCUGAGUAUUCAAAAGUAUAUUAAAACACUUAUAUUAAGAGUUGUAGCACAUAUUUCAUUUUUUUUUUACAAAGAUCGAAAAUACAACAUUUGUACAAAAGGGGAUAAUCGAAUAGGAAUAUCGGAAAACGACGAAAAUAAAAACAUCAGUCAGUCUUUGAACAACUUAAAAAUUAA